rnacentral:rRNA from 1 species
AGCAGCCGCGGUAAUUCCAGCUCCAAUAGCGUAUAUUAAAGUUGUUGCAGUUAAAAGCUCGUAGUUGAAUUUCGGGGUCAGUAGGUCGGUCGUGCCACUGGUAUGCACUGGUCUCACUGAUUCCUCCUUCUUGAAGAACCGUAAUGUCAUUAACUUGGUGUUGCGGGGAAACAGGACUGUUACCUUGAAAAAUUAGAGUGUUUAAAGCAGGCUAACGCUUGAAUACAUUAGCAUGGAAUAAUGAAAUAGGACGACGAUCCUAUUUUGUUGGUUUCUAGGAUUGACGUAAUGAUUAAUAGGGAUAGUUGGGGGCAUUAGUAUUCAAUUGUCAGAGGUGAAAUUCUUGGAUUUAUUGAAGACUAACUACUGCGAAAGCAUUUGCCAGGGAUGUUUUCAUUAAUCAAGAACGAAAGUUAGGGGAUCGAAGACGAUCAGAUACCGUCGUAGUCUUAACCAUAAACUAUGCCGACUAGGGAUCGGAUGAUGUUAAUUUUAUAAUGACUCAUUCGGCGCCUUAAC